AGAGUUUGAUUCUGGCUCAGAAUGAACGCUGGCGGCGUGCUUAACACAUGCAAGUCGUACGAGAACGUCUUAGCUUGCUAAGAUUAGUAAAGUGGCGCACGGGUGAGUAACGCGUGGGUAAUCUACCUUCGAAUCGGGGAUAACAUUGCGAAAGCGAUGCUAAUACCGGAUAAUAUCUAUGAUUCUUCGGGAUUUUAGAUCAAAGAUGGCCUCUACUUGUAAGCUAUUGUUUGAAGAUGAGUCCGCGUCCCAUUAGCUUGUUGGUGGGGUAAUGGCCUACCAAGGCAACGAUGGGUAGCUGGUCUGAGAGGAUGAUCAGCCACACUGGAACUGACACACGGUCCAGACUCCUACGGGAGGCAGCAGUGAGGAAUUUUGCGCAAUGGGGGAAACCCUGACGCAGCAACGCCGCGUGAGUGAUGAAGGCUUUCGGGUCGUAAAGCUCUGUCAAGUGGGAAGAAACUAUAUGAGGCCAAUACCUUUAUAUACUGACGGUACCACUGAAGGAAGCACCGGCUAACUCCGUGCCAGCAGCCGCGGUAACACGGGGGGUGCAAGCGUUAUUCGGAUUCACUGGGCGUAAAGAGCGCGUAGGCGGCCAGGUAAGUCAGAUGUGAAAGCCCGGGGCUCAACCCUGGAAGUGCAUCUGAAACUGCUUGGCUUGAGUAUGGGAGAGGGUAGUGGAAUUCCUGGUGUAGAGGUGAAAUUCGUAGAUAUCAGGAGGAACACCGGUGGCGAAGGCGACUACCUGGACCAAUACUGACGCUGAGGCGCGAAGGCGUGGGGAGCAAACAGGAUUAGAUACCCUGGUAGUCCACGCAGUAAACGUUGUUCACUAGGUGUAGCGGGUAUUGACCCCUGCUGUGCCGCAGCUAACGCAUUAAGUGAACCGCCUGGGAAGUACGGCCGCAAGGCUAAAACUCAAAGAAAUUGACGGGGGCCCGCACAAGCGGUGGAGCAUGUGGUUUAAUUCGACGCAACGCGAAGAACCUUACCUGGAUUUGACAUCCCGGGAAUUCUAUCGAAAGACUGAAGUGCCCUUCGGGGAACCCGGUGACAGGUGCUGCAUGGCUGUCGUCAGCUCGUGUCAUGAGAUGUUGGGUUAAGUCCCGCAACGAGCGCAACCCCUGUCUUUAGUUGCCAGCAUUAAGUUGGGGACUCUAAAGAUACCGCCCCGGUUAACGGGGAGGAAGGUGGGGAUGACGUCAAGUCCUCAUGGCCUUAUGUCCAGGGCUACACACGUGCUACAAUGGGCUGUACAGAGGGUAGCGAUGCCGCGAGGUGGAGCCAAUCCCAAAAAGCAGUCCCAAGUUCGGAUUGGAGUCUGCAACUCGACUCCAUGAAGUUGGAAUCGCUAGUAAUCGCGGAUCAGCAUGCCGCGGUGAAUACGUUCCCGGGCCUUGUACACACCGCCCGUCACACCAUGAGAGUUGAUUGUACCGGAAGUUGUUGGGCCAACCUUUCGAGGAGGCAGGCACCUAUGGUAUGAUUGAUGAUUGGGGUGAAGUCGUAACAAGGUA
rnacentral:rRNA from 1 species